GCAAAAGGGUAGUAAAAAAUGGU
rnacentral:siRNA from 1 species